AUGAACGCUGGCGGCGUGCCUAAUACAUGCAAGUCGAGCGAACAGAUGAGGAGCUUGCUCCUCUGACGUUAGCGGCGGACGGGUGAGUAACACGUGGAUAACCUACCUAUAAGACUGGGAUAACUUCGGGAAACCGGAGCUAAUACCGGAUAAUAUAUUGAAUCGCAUGGUUCAAUAGUGAAAGACGGUUUUGCUGUCACUUAUAGAUGGAUCCGCGCCGCAUUAGCUAGUUGGUAAGGUAACGGCUUACCAAGGCAACGAUGCGUAGCCGACCUGAGAGGGUGAUCGGCCACACUGGAACUGAGACACGGUCCAGACUCCUACGGGAGGCAGCAGUAGGGAAUCUUCCGCAAUGGGCGAAAGCUUGACGGAGCAACGCCGCGUGAGUGAUGAAGGUCUUCGGAUCGUAAAACUCUGUUAUUAGGGAAGAACAAAUGUGUAAGUAACUAUGCACGUCUUGACGGUACCUAAUCAGAAAGCCACGGCUAACUACGUG
rnacentral:rRNA from 1 species